AUGAACGCUGGCGGCAUGCCUAACAUAUGCAAGUCGAACGGAGACACUUCGGGUGUCUAGCUGGCGCACGGCUGAGUAACGCGUAGGGAAUCGUACCCUAGGUGAGGGAAUAAUCACCGGAAACUUGAGCUAAUACCGCUAUUAAUGACUUCGGUACUAAAGCCUUAUCGCGCUUGAGGAUGCGCCUGCGUAGGAUUAGCUUAGUUGGUGAGGUAAAAGCUCACCAAGGCGACGAUCAGUAGCUGGUCUGAGAGGACUGAUCAGCCACACUGGGACUGAGACACGGCCCAGACUCCUACGGGAGGCAGCAGUAGGGAAUCUUGGCACAAUGGGGGCAACCCUGAUGGAGCAACGCCGCGUGCAGGAUGAAGGCCUUCGGGUUGUAAACUGCUUUUAUCUGUGACGAUUAUGACGGUAACAGAAGAAUAAGGACCUGCUAACUACGUGCCAGCAGCCGCGGUCAUACGUAGGGUCCAAGCGUUAUCCGGAAUUACUGGGCGUAAAGAGUUGCGUAGGUGGCAUGGUAAGUUGAUAGUGAAAGCGUGCGGCUCAACCGCAUAAACAUUAUCAAAACUACCAAGCUAGAGCAUGAGAGAGGUAACUGGAAUUCCUAGUGUAGGAGUGAAAUCCGUAGAUAUUAGGAGGAACACCGAUGGCGUAGGCAGGUUACUGGCUCAUUGCUGACACUAAGGCACGAAAGCGUGGGGAGCGAACGGGAUUAGAUACCCCGGUAGUCCACGCUGUAAACGAUGGAUGCUAGUUGUUAUCAGUAUCGACCCUGGUAGUAACGAAGCUAACGCGUUAAGCAUCCCGCCUGUGGAGUACGAGCGCAAGCUUAAAACAUAAAGGAAUUGACGGGGACCCGCACAAGCGGUGGAGCGUGUUGUUUAAUUCGACGAUAAGCGAAGAACCUUACCAAGGUUUGACAUCCUGGGAAAGUUCCCGAAAGGGAACCGUGCCUUUUGGAACCCAGUGACAGGUGUUGCAUGGCCGUCGUCAGCUCGUGUCGUGAGAUGUUUGGUUAAGUCCAUCAACGAGCGCAACCCUUAUAGUUAGUUGGAUUUUUCUAGCUAGACUGCCCCGGUAACGGGGAGGAAGGAGGGGAUGAUGUCAGGUCAGUAUUACCCUUACACCUUGGGCUACAAACACGCUACAAUGGCCGGUACAAAGGGCAGCUAAGUCGCGAGACGGAGCAAAUCCCAUCAAAGCCGGUCUCAGUUCGGAUAGCAGGCUGAAACCCGCCUGCUUGAAGCUGGAAUCGCUAGUAACGGUAGGUCAGCACACUACCGUGAAUACGUUCCCGGGUCUUGUACACACCGCCCGUCAAACCAUGAAAGUCGCCAAUACCCGAAAUCCGACUUUAGUCGGCCUAAGGUAGGGGAGAUGAUUGGGGUU
rnacentral:rRNA from 1 species